CAAUAGCGUAUAUUAAAGUUGUUGCAGUUAAAAGCUCGUAGUUGGAUUUCAAGGACUAGACGGAUCACUCCGUCGAAGCCUAUCAGUCCGAGAGGACUGUUACUGUGAGAAAAUUAGAGUGUUUCAAGCAGGCAAUUGCAGGAAUACAUUAGCAUGGAAUAACGAAUGUGUCUAGAAUCUUGGUUAAUUCUAGAUUACGAUUAAUAGGGACAGUUGGGGGCAUUAGUAUUUAAUUGUCAGAGGUGAAAUUCUUGGAUUUGUUAAAGACUAACCUAUGCGAAAGCAUUUGCCAAGGAUGUUUUCAUUAAUCAAGAACGAAAGAUAGGGGAUCAAAGAUGAUUAGAUACCAU
rnacentral:rRNA from 1 species